AAUGAACGCUGGCGGCAGGCCUAACACAUGCAAGUCGAACGGAGUUAUAUUAUAGCUUGCUAUGGUAUAACUUAGUGGCAGACGGGUGAGUAAUGUAUAGGAAUCUACCUAGUAGUACGGAAUAAUUGUUGGAAACGGCAACUAAUACCGUAUACGCCCUACGGGGGAAAAAUUUAUUGCUAUUAGAUGAGCCUAUAUUAGAUUAGCUAGUUGGUGGAGUAAUAGCCUACCAAGGCAAUGAUCUAUAGCUGAUCUGAGAGGAUGAUCAGCCACACUGGAACUGAGAUACGGUCCAGACUUCUACGGGAGGCAGCAGUGGGGAAUAUUGGACAAUGGGCGAAAGCCUGAUCCAGCCAUGUCGCAUGAGUGAAGAAGGCCUUUGGGUUGUAAAGCUCUUUUAGUGAGGAAGAUAAUGACGGUACUCACAGAAGAAGUCCUGGCUAACUCCGUGCCAGCCGCCGCAGUAAAA
rnacentral:rRNA from 1 species